UCCCUGGUGGUCUAGUGGUUAAGAUUUGGGGCUCUCGCUGUCGUGGCCCAGGUUCAUUUCCUGGUCAGGGAA
rfam:Equus caballus chromosome 5, whole genome shotgun sequence.